rnacentral:rRNA from 1 species
GUGCCAGCAGCCGCGGUAAUACGUAGGCAGCAAGCGUUGUUCGGAAUUACUGGGCGUAAAGGGUGCGUAGGCGGUGUACUAAGUUUGGUGUGAAAUCUCCCGGCUCAACUGGGAGGGUGCGCCGAAAACUGGGACACUCGAGUGUGGGAAAGGAAAGCGGAAUUCCUGGUGUAGCGGUGAAAUGCGUAGAGAUCAGGAGGAACACCUGCGGUGUAGACGGCUUUCUGGACCAUAACUGACGCUGAGGCACGAAAGCGUGGGUAGCAAACAGGAUUAGAUACCCUGGUAGUCCACGCCCUAAACGAUGCAUACUUGGUGUGGGUUCUUCACUGGAUCCGUGCCGGAGCUAACGCGUUAAGUAUGCCGCCUGGGGAGUACGGUCGCAAGGCUGAA